AGGACGAACGCUGGCGGCGUGCCUAACACAUGCAAGUCGAACGGGACCAGGGGCAACUCUGGUUCAGUGGCGGACGGGUGCGUAACACGUGAGGAACAUGACCUUCGGCGGGGGAUAGCCGGCCCAACGGCCGGGUAAUACCGCGUACGACCACUUUGGGACAUCCCUGGGUGGUGAAAGCAGCAAUGCGCCGAUGGAGUGCCUCGCGGCCUAUCAGCUAGUUGGUGAGGUAACGGCUCACCAAGGCGACGACGGGUAGCUGGUCUGAGAGGACUGGCCAGCCACAUUGGGACUGAGACACGGCCCAGACUCCUACGGAGGCAGCAGUGGGGAAUAUGCGCAAUGGACGAAAGUCUGAGCCAGCGACGCCGCGUGUGGAUGACGGUCGUUCGGAUUCGUAAACCGACUGUACGGGAGGACGAAGUACGCGACGAAGGCGGGUGACCGGUACCUACCGAAACGGAACGCACCGGCUAACGUCCGUAGCCAGCCAGCCGAC
rnacentral:rRNA from 1 species